rnacentral:rRNA from 1 species
UACGUAGGGUGCAAGCGUUGUCCGGAAUUAUUGGGCGUAAAGAGCUCGUAGGCGGUCUGUCGCGUCGGCUGUGAAAACUCGGGGGCUCAACCCCCGAGCUUGCAGUCGAUACGGGGCAGACUAGAGUUCGGUAGGGGGAGUCUGGAAUUCCUGGUGUAGCGGUGAAAUGCGCAGAUAUCAGGAGGAACACCGGUGGCGAAGGCGGGACUCUGGGGCCGAUACUGACGCUGAGGAGCGAAAAGCGUGGGGGAGCAAAACAGG